CGAAGGGGGCUAGCGUUGCUCGGAAUGACUGGGCGUAAAGGGCGCGUAGGCGGUUUGUACAGUCAGGUGUGAAAUUCCCGGGCUCAACCUGGGGGCUGCACUUGAUACGUAUGGACUGGAGUGGGGAAGAGGGUCGUGGAAUUCCCAGUGUAGAGGUGAAAUUCGUAGAUAUUGGGAAGAACACCGGUGGCGAAGGCGGCGACCUGGUCCUUGACUGACGCUGAGGCGCGAAAGCGUGGGGAGCAAACGGG
rnacentral:rRNA from 1 species